CGAACGCUGGCGGCGUGCUUAACACAUGCAAGUCGAACGAGGAAUAGAGAGCUUGCUCUCUAUAGCCGAGUGGCGAACGGGUGAGUAACACGUGACCAACCUGUCUUUGGGUGAGGGACAACCUGGGGAAACCCGGGCUAAUACCGCAUAAAGUCUUUUUUUCACCUGGGAAAGAGACCAAAGGGGGCCUCUGCUUGCAUGCUCUCGCCCGAUGAGGGGGUCGCGUCGUAUCAGCUUGUUGGUGAGGUAACGGCUCACCAAGGCUAUGACGCGUAGCGGGUCUGAGAGGACGAUCCGUCACAUUGGGACUGAGAUACGGCCCAGACUCCUACGGGAGGCAGCAGUGGGGAAUAUUGCGCAAUGGUCGAAAGACUGACGCAGCGACGCCGCGUGUGGGAGGAAGCCUUUCGGGGUGUAAACCACUGUCAGGGGGGAAGAACGGCGAGUAUCAGAAUACGAUGCUCGAUUGACGGUACCUCCAAAGGAAGCGCCGGCUAACUCC
rnacentral:rRNA from 1 species